CCUACGGGAGUCAGCAGUAGGGAAUAUUGCUCAAUGGGGGAAACCCUGAAGCAGCAACGCCGCGUGGAGGAUGAAGGUUUUCGGAUUGUAAACUCCUUUUGUUAGAGAAGAUAAUGACGGUAUCUAACGAAUAAGCACCGGCUAACUCCGUGCCAGCAGCCGCGGUAAUACGGAGGGUGCAAGCGUUACUCGGAAUCACUGGGCGUAAAGAGAGCGUAGGCGGGAUAGCAAGUCAGAUGUGAAAUCCUAUGGCUUAACCAUAGAACUGCAUUUGAAACUGUUAUUCUAGAGUAUGGUAGAGGUAGGUGGAAUUCUUGGUGUAGGGGUAAAAUCCGUAGAGAUCAAGAGGAAUACUCAUUGCGAAGGCGACCUGCUAGAACAUAACUGACGCUGAUGCGCGAAAGCGUGGGGAGCAAACAGGAUUAGAUACCCCAGUAGUC
rnacentral:rRNA from 1 species